rnacentral:rRNA from 1 species
GUGGGGAAUCUUGCGCAAUGGGCGAAAGCCUGACGCAGCCAUGCCGCGUGAAUGAUGAAGGUCUUAGGAUUGUAAAAUUCUUUCACCGGGGACGAUAAUGACGGUACCCGGAGAAGAAGCCCCGGCUAACUUCGUGCCAGCAGCCGCGGUAAUACGAAGGGGGCUAGCGUUGCUCGGAAUUACUGGGCGUAAAGGGCGCGUAGGCGGACAGUUUAGUCAGAGGUGAAAGCCCAGGGCUCAACCUUGGAAUUGCCUUUGAUACUGGCUGGCUUGAGUACGGGAGAGGUGAGUGGAACUCCGAGUGUAGAGGUGAAAUUCGUAGAUAUUCGGAAGAACACCAGUGGCGAAGGCGACUCACUGGCCCGUUACUGACGCUGAGGCGCGAAAGCGUGGGGAGCAAACAGGAUUAGAAACCCUGGUAGUCC